UUAGAGGCAAACGGGUGGACCCGCAAUACGUCGACCCGGGGGAUUCAACCAGGCCGUGCGUUCGGGACGCGUGGGGGUUAUGCGGAGCUGUAAAGCCCGUGCCUCUGCGCAGGUCUCCGGGCGGACUGGUGCACUUUCCUCGGGUUGAUUGCCACGACCGGCUCUCCGUGCGGCCACAAGCCUUUGCUGGGAAGGUGACCGUCGGCCUCCGCGCCGGCGGUGUUAUAGACCAGCUUGUUCGUUGAGCUCGUCGGAGGGCCGAGGAAGUGUUGCCGUUUCUCGUCCACCCUCCGGCCAUCCUUGCUCGUCACGACUGGGGUGAACUGCUCCGUCAGUGCUCUCCCGACCGCGAGCGUAGGAAGGGCUGGUACGGUGCGAGAAAGCUUCGGGCCAGUGGCGAAUCGGUCGGUCCUCCACCCGACCCGUCUUGA
rnacentral:rRNA from 1 species